rnacentral:lncRNA from 1 species
CUUGGAUGAAAAUUCAGAUAAAAGGUGCUUGUAACAGUCACCAAACAACAGAUGACAGAAAUAAGACCUGUUCUGUUCAUUUCCCCAGUUUAGCAUGUGUAUGUGUGUUCUCCCACAUCUGUGUUCCCUUGAAUUCUUGUAAGGUGCCGCCAGCCUGGGCUGCUGCAAUCCGUGUAAUCCUUGAGCUGCCAUUCACUGACACAGAGCAUCUUCUUUGGAAGCCACAGGAUGCAUCCCUUGCUCUGAGGCAGAACUCAGAAUGAUUUUAGGUACUGAUGAUUCCUGGUACAGGAAGGAGUUUGACAUCUUUGACUCAAAAAGUCACUUGGAAAUUGCCAGAACAGGUCAUUAGUAGUGGACCUAUUACAUGAAUCAGAGAGUUGGGAGAGGUCAUUCACCAUUCCUAAGGUAAUUUAUGUUUUGAAAAUAUAAGCUGUAUUUUAUUUGAAAACAUUCAUUAAACAACAUCAAGAUUCAAUUCCUUUGGUGUGAUCAUAGAAUCAUAGAACAGCCCAGGUUGGAAAGGCUCUUAAAAAUCAUCAAGUUCCAGACCCUGUGCCAUGGGCAAGGUUGCUCAGGGCCCCAUCCAACCUGGCCUUAAUGUACUGGCACUGCAAAAUGUGAUCAGCAAAGCAAAUCCUAAGUUUAGAGAAGUUACAGAACUGGAAAUUAAGGAAAACUUUCUGAUUUUUUUUGUAACUUAUAAACCUUUAAACAUGUCAACAAGCAAAAAAGAAGUGAUACUUAAAAUAAGGGGCUGAUAAAUUACUAUAUAACUGGACAUUUACUAAGUUCAUUUGAACUGAUAGUAACAUUUUCUGUUUGUCACAGACCUGUUGCUAAGCUUUUUACAUUAUGUAUUGGUAGCCUUUUAUCUACAAAGCUUAUUAACAUCACUUCUUUGGGGAUUCAACCUCACUACCACUGCUUGGGCUUUCCCUUACCUGAUCCACUACUUUAGUGUUGACUGUAAAUUCUGUUCUUCUGGUUAGUUGUAUAUUACCAUUCUUUAUAGAACUCAAAGCUUUCACAGCUUUGGGCAUUGACUUUUAAAAGUUACCAUUUUCUGGAACUAAAUUUAAAUGUACAAUUGCAGAAGUUUGAACACUCCAGUGUUUUAAAUGGUAUUUAUUUGGUUAUGAGCAUAAAAGUGACCAGUACUAGUCAUUGGGUUUUGUAGCUUCUUUGUAUUUUGCCCUAAUUUUAGUGAUGUAUAUUGCUUUUCCAGUGACAGCAGUCAUGUACCAGAGAUGACUAUUUUGG